AGCAUCCGUAGCCGGUUGCAUAAGUUUUCGGUUAAAUCUAUGCGCUCAACGUAUAGGCCGCCGAAAAUACUGUGCAGCUAGGGAGUGGGAGAGGUACACGGUACUCAGUAGGAAGGGGUAAAAUCCUUUGAUCUAUUGAUGACCACCUGUGGCGAAGGCGGUGUACCAGAACACGUUCGACGGUGAGGGAUGAAAGCUGGGGGAGCAAACCGGAUUAGAUACCCGGGUAGUCCCAGCUGUAAACGAUGCAGACUCGGUGAUGCAUUGGCUUGUGGCCAAUGCAGUGCCGCAGGGAAGCCGUUAAGUCUGCCGCCUGGGAAGUACGUACGCAAGUAUGAAACUUAAAGGAAUUGGCGGGGGAGCACAAGCC
rnacentral:rRNA from 2 species